GCAUGGGUUUGGAUUUAUGGCAGACCUGUCCCCAGGAGCCUUUCAUAGUGUCUUAUGCCAGAGCGAACUGUAGCUCCAAACUAUUGCCUGGCCUUGCCUCAUGGGCUUCAGGCACUGAAACAGGUUGCACAGUG
ensembl:snoRNA